rnacentral:misc_RNA from 1 species
AAGUCGUAACAAGGUUUCCGUAGGUGAACCUGCGGAAGGAUCAUUAACACGUUUCAAAACGUCUCCAACAACCCCGUGAACUGUACCCCCUCCCUCUUCAACGAUAUGGUGCACAGCCUUAAUAUGCCUAAGUGGACAAACGAUCGGAGAGCCUAGCUUAUUCAGUUAAGUUAGUUGAUCCUCGGGGCAGCUGACACUGGAAGCCGUUGAGCUUCACAUAUCAAUGAUGCAGGCUUUUUUACGAUCCACACAUAUUAACCCCUUUAACCGUUCAUCCUCUUGCUAGUCUUCGGGCUAGGAAUGAUUGACGUUCUAUUUGACUAAUGCUUAUCGUGUCUGACUGAGAGUGAGCAAUCGCUCUUGGACCUUACAUCGAUAUGAGUUAUGUAACUAAGCACAACUCUUAGCAACGGAUAUCUUGGUUCUC